CAUUACCUGAGUGCGGGCCCCUCGGGGCCCAACCUCCCACCCGUGUUGCCCGAACCUAUGUUGCCUCGGCGGGCCCCGCGCCCGCCGACGGCCCCCCUGAACGCUGUCUGAAGUUGCAGUCUGAGACCUAUAACGAAAUUAGUUAAAACUUUCAACAACGGAUCUCUUGGUUCCGGCAUCGAUGAAGAACGCAGCGAAAUGCGAUAACUAAUGUGAAUUGCAGAAUUCAGUGAAUCAUCGAGUCUUUGAACGCACAUUGCGCCCUCUGGUAUUCCGGAGGGCAUGCCUGUCCGAGCGUCAUUGCUGCCCUCAAGCCCGGCUUGUGUGUUGGGCCCCGUCCCCCCCGCCGGGGGGACGGGCCCGAAAGGCAGCGGCGGCACCGCGUCCGGUCCUCGAGCGUAUGGGGCUUCGUCACCCGCUCUAGUAGGCCCGGCCGGCGCCAGCCGACCCCCAACCUUUAAUUAUCUCAGGUUGACCUCGGAUCAGGUAGGGAUACCCGCUGAACUUAA
rnacentral:rRNA from 1 species